rnacentral:rRNA from 1 species
CUGAAUAUGGGGGGACCAUCCUCCAAGGCUAAAUACUCCUGACUGACCGAUAGUGAACCAGUACCGUGAGGGAAAGGCGAAAAGAACCCCGGCGAGGGGAGUGAAAAAGAACCUGAAACCGUGUACGUACAAGCAGUGGGAGCCUCUUAAUGGGGUGACUGCGUACCUUUUGUAUAAUGGGUCAGCGACUUAUAUUCUGUAGCAAGGUUAACCGAAUAGGGGAGCCGAAGGGAAACCGAGUCUUAACUGGGCGUUAAGUUGCAGGGUAUAGACCCGAAACCCGGUGAUCUAGCCAUGGGCAGGUUGAAGGUUGGGUAACACUAACUGGAGGACCGAACCGACUAAUGUUGAAAAAUUAGCGGAUGACUUGUGGCUGGGGGUGAAAGGCCAAUCAAACCGGGAGAUAGCUGGUUCUCCCCGAAAGCUAUUUAGGUAGCGCCUCGUGAAUUCAUCUCCGGGGGUAGAGCACUGUUUCGGCAAGGGGGUCAUCCCGACUUACCAACCCGAUGCAAACUGCGAAUACCGGAGAAUGUUAUCACGGGAGACACACGGCGGGUGCUAACGUCCGUCGUGAAGAGGGAAACAACCCAGACCGCCAGCUAAGGUCCCAAAGUCAUGGUUAAGUGGGAAACGAUGUGGGAAGGCCCAGACAGCCAGGAUGUUGGCUUAGAAGCAGCCAUCAUUUAAAGAAAGCGUAAUAGCUCACUGGUCGAGUCGGCCUGCGCGGAAGAUGUAACGGGGCUAAACCAUGCACCGAAGCUGCGGCAGCGACACUAUGUGUUGUUGGGUAGGGGAGCGUUCUGUAAGCCUGUGAAGGUGUACUGUGAGGUAUGCUGGAGGUAUCAGAAGUGCGAAUGCUGACAUAAGUAACGAUAAAGCGGGUGAAAAGCCCGCUCGCCGGAAGACCAAGGGUUCCUGUCCAACGUUAAUCGGGGCAGGGUGAGUCGACCCCUAAGGCGAGGCCGAAAGGCGUAGUCGAUGGGAAACAGGUUAAUAUUCCUGUACUUGGUGUUACUGCGAAGGGGGGACGGAGAAGGCUAUGUUGGCCGGGCGACGGUUGUCCCGGUUUAAGCGUGUAGGCUGGUUUUCCAGGCAAAUCCGGAAAAUCAAGGCUGAGGCGUGAUGACGAGGCACUACGGUGCUGAAGCGACAAAUGCCCUGCUUCCAGGAAAAGCCUCUAAGCAUCAGGUAACAUCAAAUCGUACCCCAAACCGACACAGGUGGUCAGGUAGAGAAUACCAAGGCGCUUGAGAGAACUCGGGUGAAGGAACUAGGCAAAAUGGUGCCGUAACUUCGGGAGAAGGCACGCUGAUAUGUAGGUGAAGCGACUUGCUCGUGGAGCUGAAAUCAGUCGAAGAUACCAGCUGGCUGCAACUGUUUAUUAAAAACACAGCACUGUGCAAACACGAAAGUGGACGUAUACGGUGUGACGCCUGCCCGGUGCCGGAAGGUUAAUUGAUGGGGUUAGCGGUAACGCGAAGCUCUUGAUCGAAGCCCCGGUAAACGGCGGCCGUAACUAUAACGGUCCUAAGGUAGCGAAAUUCCUUGUCGGGUAAGUUCCGACCUGCACGAAUGGCGUAAUGAUGGCCAGGCUGUCUCCACCCGAGACUCAGUGAAAUUGAACUCGCUGUGAAGAUGCAGUGUACCCGCGGCAAGACGGAAAGACCCCGUGAACCUUUACUAUAGCUUGACACUGAACAUUGAGCCUUGAUGUGUAGGAUAGGUGGGAGGCUUUGAAGUGUGGACGCCAGUCUGCAUGGAGCCGACCUUGAAAUACCACCCUUUAAUGUUUGAUGUUCUAACGUGGGCCCCUUACCGGGGUUGCGGACAGUGUCUGGUGGGUAGUUUGACUGGGGCGGUCUCCUCCUAAAGAGUAACGGAGGAGCACGAAGGUUGGCUAAUCCUGGUCGGACAUCAGGAGGUUAGUGCAAUGGCAUAAGCCAGCUUGACUGCGAGCGUGACGGCGCGAGCAGGUGCGAAAGCAGGUCAUAGUGAUCCGGUGGUUCUGAAUGGAAGGGCCAUCGCUCAACGGAUAAAAGGUACUCCGGGGAUAACAGGCUGAUACCGCCCAAGAGUUCAUAUCGACGGCGGUGUUUGGCACCUCGAUGUCGGCUCAUCACAUCCUGGGGCUGAAGUAGGUCCCAAGGGUAUGGCUGUUCGCCAUUUAAAGUGGUACGCGAGCUGGGUUUAGAACGUCGUGAGACAGUUCGGUCCCUAUCUGCCGUGGGCGCUGGAGAACUGAGGGGGGCUGCUCCUAGUACGAGAGGACCGGAGUGGACGCAUCACUGGUGUUCGGGUUGUCAUGCCAAUGGCACUGCCCGGUAGCUAAAUGCGGAAGAGAUAAGUGCUGAAAGCAUCUAAGCACGAAACUUGCCCCGAGAUGAGUUCUCCCUGACUCCUUGAGAGUCCUGAAGGAACGUUGAAGACGACGACGUUGAUAGGCCGGGUGUGUAAGCGCAGCGAUGCGUUGAGCUAACCGGUACUAAUGAACCGUGAGGCUUAACCUU